CACCUCAGAGCAAAGCAGAAACUUGAAGCAGACGCUGCUCCGCAAAAGCAGUGCCCCAAAAGAUGCUGGGGCAGGCACCAUGGGCAAGGCUGUCUCCUUCUGGCCCUGCCAUCCUGCUGCUGGUGAUCUGUGGCAGCAUGAGCUCCCAGGACAUCUGCAGCUCCCCAGGGGAUCUCCGAGCUCCUGCUCUCCAAAUGAACUCAACUUCUGCUCAGCCAGGUACCACAGUUGUGCUCCAGUGUAUUCUCCCUGUGGUGUCACCCGUAAUACGAAUCAUCUUCUGCAAGGAUGGGAAGGAGCAGUACAGCCAGAAAGCCCAUCAAGGGCAGCUGAGCUACUCCGUGGUCCUGAACAUCACGUCAAGAAGCGCAGGAAUAUAUACCUGUGGGUACCAGCAGAGGAAUGAGAUGAAACAGAGGAGGAGCUCUGCCCUCAGUGCUGGCCAAAUCCUGGAUGUCCCUGGCAAUGUGGUGAGUUCCCCAGCAAGUCCAUCACCCCCAGCUCCCCAUGCCCGGAUCCCGCACACCCUCUCCACAAGCAUGGCGCUGGCAGUGGCAGCCGUCGGCCUCGUCCUCCUGGCUGCAGGCAGCUGGUUUGCCAUCAGGAAAGGUGCCUGCAGAGGGAGAUGCCCAAGGCAGCAACAAGUUGACAGCCCGCAGACGGAAGACGCCAGCUAUGGUGACAUCCAGUACUCCACCAUCGCCCAUAUUCGACGGGACAGGCCUCGUCCCAUGCAUCAAAUGAGAAACAUCAUGACAUAUGCCACGGUGACCCACACUCAGACCGAAUAGCGCUGCCACAGGGCAAGGGCACAGGAGCCUUGCCCACAGCUGCCUUUGGCCUCCUGCAGAGGGCUCAUGGAGCCAUAACGUGGAGCUGGGGGGUGCACUUUGGUCUUCUUAGGGGUUUGUUUUCUCAGGGAAGGGCUGUGAGUGUCUAGCCAAGAUG
rnacentral:lncRNA from 1 species